rnacentral:misc_RNA from 1 species
GGCAGGUCAACUUCUGUCAAGAUGAGGUCGACAUUGUGAGGUCUGCCUUUCAACAACUCCCAUGCCUUUAGACCAUCAGAAACUGCAGCGACUCUGUAACUGCAUUUCCUAAGAAGAGCAGCAACAAUCUGUCUAGUAGAAUCAUCUGAUUCCACCAACAAAACUCUAAAAACCAUUUUAGGCAAAAAUCUUUCCCAUUUCAAGAUUGAAGAAGAUGCUGC